rnacentral:rRNA from 1 species
AGUUUUUUGUUUUUUCAUAAAAAAUCUUUUCUGCUCAGUGAUUUUUAACAGCCGCAGUAUUUUGACUGUGCAAAGGUAGCGUAAUCAUUUGCUCUAUAAUUGGGGGCUAGUAUGAAUGGGAUUACAAAAGAUUUUUUUUAUUAAAAAGAUUAAUGUAACUUGCUUUUUUAGUGAAGAAGCUAAAAUUUAACUAUGGGACAAGAAGACCCUUUUGAGUUUUAUUUUUUAUUUUUUUUUUAAAUUUUAAAAAUUUGGUUGGGGGGACCGAGGAAGUUUUUAUCUUCCUUUUUUACUUUGAUCCACAGGUUGUGAUUAAAGGAUUAAAUUACCAAAGGGAUAACAGCGUUAUUUUUUUUAAGAGUUCUUAUCGAAAAUUAAGAUUGCGACCUCGAUGUUGACUUAUAGUUUCCUUUUGGUGUAGCCGCUUUGCAGGGAAGGUCUGUUCAACCUUUAAAACUUU